ACUUAAUAAAUUUAACACUUACCUUACAUUACCGGCAUAACCUUCGCGUAUCUUGUUUACCGAGUUAUCACUGUUAUUUAUUGCAAACAGGCAGCACGAACUCGAGCAGUGAUAACGUGUUACGUUCAAGUUUUUCCGUAGUGAAAAUGUCAAAAUUUUAGUAUUCCAUUGCCGAAUUUUUUGAAACAAUUCCAUUCACCACGUUCACAAAGUCCUAACUACCUAAUAUCCACCAAAAGUCCCUCACCGGCUCGAGUAUGUACCGUCGGAGAAUAUCCCAAACAUUCCCGACAUAUCCUAACCUCAAAAUUCUCCUUUUAGAAAACAAGAACAUAAGUGACCAGUUUUUCAGAAUUACUUUAAUGCUUCGCCAGAUUUCAGCCGCAAACAACGUCCAACAUGUUAAAAAACGAAUGGAACUGAUUCUCAAGGACAGCAAACUCUUCGGAGUCCUAAGAGACAAGUUUGCAGCUGUUCCUCGCUCUCUUAAAGAUCAGUCGGCUAGUGUUUUAAGGGUAUGGGCGCACCAGUUUGAGUGCGUGAUGGCCCACCGAUUACGAAGGGGCCAACAAAUGUUCUGUCUCUACUCGAAAUUGUGGGAGGAAAGGGCUUUAAGGGAGUUUGUCAGGCAGAUGAGACAAAGAAUCGGUUUAAAGAGCCGUGAUUUUCUGACUGCGGCAUUGGGGGUCGCCGUGUAUGAUUGGCACUCUAACAGGAUACCAGAAAGCGAAAUUAGGAAACAUUCAAAGGAAUUGGAGUACGUUUAUAAACUCAAGGAAAAAACCUUAUGUAACAAAUGCAUCAAAAACUCGCGAAUAUGCCAAUGCCAAAAACCUAGUGAUAGUAUAGAAAAGCCUAAGAUGGCCUCGUAUGAUGACUGGAAAUUAUUUAUUGAAAAAAAUGAUCUGGUGGUAUGGAGGAGGUUGCAUGCUUCAGGAAACUACGAAUAUAAAGUUUAUGGAUCAUAUUCUGAUGUAUCUGCUGAAGAUUUCUUGAAUGUUCAGAUUGAUAUUGAUUAUAGAAGACAGUGGGACAACACUGCUGUGGUUUUAAAUAUUGUAGAAGCUGACCCAGACCCACAUUCACAUAGCGACAUCAUCUACUGGGAAAUGCAAUGGCCUACGUUAUUCGCCAACAGGGACUACGUGUUUAACCGGCGCUACCUUGUAGACCACAAAAACAAAACUCUCUUUCUAGUCAGCAAAUCAACUAAACAUCCCAGUUGUCCUAAACAGCAGACAAAAUACAGAAUAGAAGACUACUGGUCUUACAUGGUCAUCAAACCGUACACCGAAUUGAGCAAACCCGGCAUCGAAUUUAGUUUGACUUAUUUUGAUAAUCCUGGAGUAAAUAUUCCAGCUUCUGUAACAACAUGGGUGGCAAUGAAAGCCAUGCCCGACUUUCUCGAACGCCUGCGAGAGGCCUCUCGAAAAUACAAAGUCUACUGUAAAGAGUCGGGUGUGUGUAGUAUUUGCAAUAUUCUCGAUUCUCAAGAGAAUGACCGGCAGCCGUACCAAUGGGAUUACUUUGAAGACGAUAUCACGGAUAACACCAUCUAUGAAGCUCAUUAUAAAAUCAAGUCUCCCGAGGUGAACGUGACAAAACCUUCAAAUCCACCACCACAGUCCGGUGGGGAUGUUGAGAAUACAGUCAAUACACCGCCGAGUGUGCAAUCAGAAAACCAUAGUUUUUGGAGAUUUAUUAAAAGAUUAUUUAAAUGAAAGCUAUGUUUUAAAGUUACCCGCUUCUGAUUAUCCUGUAGAAGUUGACACGAAACCAAGCAGUGAAUAACUUAAUGUGAAGGCAAAAUCGAGGACAAUUAACGAAGAUACCAAACUAAGGAAUAAGAAAAUUGUUAAAGUUUCGUAUUACGUUAUCACCACUGUUAAAAGAUUUAAAAACUCUCUCGUCUAGUACCAAAUAAAAUUAUUAUGCAAUUUAAAAAA